UGGGGAAAUUUGCACAAUGGGCGCAAGCCUGAUGCAGCCAUGCCGCGUGUAUGAAGAAGGCCUUCGGGUUGUAAAGUACUUUCAGCGGGGAGGAAGGGAGUAAAGUUAAUACCUUUGCUCAUUGACGUUACCCGCAGAAGAAGCACCGGCUAACUCCGUGCCAGCAGCCGCGGUAAUACGGAGGGUGCAAGCGUUAAUCGGAAUUACUGGGCGUAAAGCGCACGCAGGCGGUUUGUUAAGUCAGAUGUGAAAUCCCCGGGCUCAACCUGGGAACUGCAUCUGAUACUGGCAAGCUUGAGUCUCGUAGAGGGGGGUAGAAUUCCAGGUGUAGCGGUGAAAUGCGUAGAGAUCUGGAGGAAUACCGGUGGCGAAGGCGGCCCCCUGGACGAAGACUGACGCUCAGGUGCGAAAGCGUGGGGAGCAAACAGG
rnacentral:rRNA from 1 species